UACGAAGGGGGCGAGCGUUGUUCGGAAUUACUGGGCGUAAAGGGCGCGUAGGCGGCGAACCAAGUCAGAUGUGAAAGCCCUGGGCUCAACCCAGGAAGUGCACUCGAUACUGCCUAGCUAGAGUCCCGGAGAGGUUGGUGGAACUCUCGGUGUAGAGGUGAAAUUCGUAGAUAUCGAGAAGAACACCGGUGGCGAAGGCGGCCAACUGGACGGUGACUGACACUGAGACGCGAAAGCGUGGGGAGCAAACAGG
rnacentral:rRNA from 1 species